GUGCCAGCAGCCGCGGUAAUACGGGGGGGGCAAGCGUUGUUCGGAAUUACUGGGCGUAAAGGGCUCGUAGGUGGCCAACUAAGUCAUACGUGAAAUCCCUCAGCUUAACUGGGGAACUGCGUCUGAUACUGGAUGGCUUGAGUUUGGGAGAGGGAUGCGGAAUUCCAGGUGUAGCGGUGAAAUGCGUAGAUAUCUGGAGGAACACCGGUGGCGAAGGCGGCAUCCUGGACCAAUACUGACACUGAGGAGCGAAAGCCAGGGGAGCAAACGGGAUUAGAAACCCUUGUAGUCC
rnacentral:rRNA from 1 species